UACGAAGGGUGCAAGCGUUACUCGGAAUUACUGGGCGUAAAGCGUGCGUAGGCGGUUCGUUAAGUCUGUCGUGAAAGCCCUGGGCUCAACCUGGGAAUUGCGAUGGAUACUGGCGAGCUAGAGUACGGUAGAGGAGAGUGGAAUUCCCGGUGUAGCGGUGAAAUGCGCAGAUAUCGGGAAGAACACCUAUGGCGAAGGCAGCUCUCUGGGGACGGUACUGACGCUAGACGCGAAAAGCGUGGGGGAGCGAACAGG
rnacentral:rRNA from 1 species